rnacentral:rRNA from 1 species
GACGAACGCUGGCGGCGUGCUUAACACAUGCAAGUCGAACGCUGAAGCUUGGUGCUUGCACUGGGUGGCUGAGUGGCGAACGGGUGAGUAAUACGUGAGUAACCUGCCCUUGACUCUGGGAUAAGCCUGGGAAACUGGGUCUAAUACUGGAUACGACAUGUCACCGCAUGGUGGUGUGUGGAAAGGGUUUUACUGGUUUUGGAUGGGCUCACGGCCUAUCAGCUUGUUGGUGGGGUAAUGGCUCACCAAGGCGACGACGGGUAGCCGGCCUGAGAGGGUGACCGGCCACACUGGGACUGAGACACGGCCCAGACUACUACGGGAGGCAGCAGUGGGGAAUAUUGCACAAUGGGCGGAAGCCUGAUGCAGCGACGCCGCGUGAGGGAUGACGGCCUUCGGGUUGUAAACCUCUUUCAGCACGGAAGAAGCGAAAGUGACGGUACGUGCAGAAGAAGCGCCGGCUAACUACGU